CAAGGCUCUUGCCUGUUAUUGCAGCAAUCAAUUUUGGCUAUCUAUUGACAGUGAAACAGGCAUGAUAUUUUUCCGAUUUAAAUCGGAAUUCCGAUUUUUUUGUUUUUUCUAGAAAUGAAUUAAUUUUUUACCUCGACUAAACCCCUCGAUUCGACUAAACCUCGCCUCAACGAAACCACAUACCUCACUACGAAACCUCACCUCGACUAAACUUCACCUCACACUUAAACCUCAACUCAUUAAACCUCGCCUCGACUAAACCUCCCACCUCACAACUAAGCUCCACCUUGCACCUAAUCCCCGCCUCGACUAAUCGCCGCCUCUCUCCCGCUCCCGCAGGAAGGGGCUGCGGGCGGAGCGGGGCUCGGGCUCGAUGUCAACUUCAGAAAGAGUGUGCCCCACCCUUCCCACCGGCUCUCCCGGGCAGUGUGCCUGUGCCGCUCUCCGUGCCCGGUCCCGCCCCCUUGGUUGGAGCCGCUCCGCUCAUGUGAGGCGCCACUAACGGCCGGGGGGCAAUAAAUAGCGGGAGCGGGUGAGAGGCAGCGAUUAGUCGAGGUGCGGAUUAGGUGUGAGGCAGAGUUUAGUCGUGGGAGGUUUAGUUUUGAGGUGAGGUGGGGUUAAGGUGUGAGGUGAAGUUUAGUGAGGUUUAUUUGAGGGGCAAGGUUUAGUGAGGUACGGUUUAGUCGAGGUUUAGGUGUGAGAAGAAGUUUGGUAGGGAGGUAUCGUCGAGGCGAGGGGUUUAGUGAGGCAAGGGGAUUAGUCGAGGUGUAGGUGAGGAGAAGUGAAUGUAGGUGAGUUGAGGAGAAGUGGGUGGCUGAGCUCAGGAAGGGAGACUGAGGUGUUGCUGAAGGAGACGAGACCACUACCUUCAGUGGCAGAGCAUUCCGCAAAUUCACAACUCACUGGGUGAAAAAGAUUUUUUCUCAUCUUAGUGCGAGGCAAAGAGACAUUUCAGUAGCUCAUCAGAGGAAUGAUGGCAUCGAUAUAAUGGUCAGUGUCUAUAGUCUAAAAGAAGCUGAAGUCUAGCAGUCUCUGAGAUGCCCAGGAGUGGGAGAUGAACCCUACAGUAUGAAUGGUUUUACAGAAUUUCAGUGAUGUCCACUCAUAAGAACAUGAUGACUAUAUUUAUUUUAAAUGUACAACUAUUAUAGAUUCUGAUCAAAAUUAUAAUAUUUGACCUAAACAUGAAUUUGGUGCUUGUGCAUUCUGUAGCAGAAACAACAUAAAUUAAACGUUGUAUUACGUUCUUUCAACAAAUAAUGUGACAAUCCCUACAUGGAUGACAAGUUUUAGAGUAUGAUUUCAGUGAUAUGAAGAACUUAGCGUUUAAACUAUUUCAGUGUUCAACAUAACUAAGUUAGUUUUGCACUUUGAUCAUACCAAAGCAUUUUAAAAGUGCUGGGACAAAUCACAAUCAUUUACUAUCAACUGCAAAUCUGUGAAAACUAUCCUAGCUUUCAGCAUGAUGGCUCUGAGCAUUAUAGAAUGAUAGCAUUAGCAAGGUUUAACCAAUGAAUUGAAAAUCUUACCAGAUUCUAUUGCAAUAUACAUUCUGACUAUUGUUUCCUGCCUGCAAGCCCCCACCAAACACUCGCUGAUUUUUUAUUCUUCCUCUUUCAUUUAAAAAAUAUGGGCAAAGUAGAAAGGGAGAAACUGUUCCCAGUGAUGGAGAUUUUCAAGAACUGGGAUAUAUAGAAUGAAGGCAAAUAGCUAAUGAUCCCCAGGUAAGGUGAGGAACAGUAUCUUCAUCCCAUGGUAGGCGUGUUAAAAACAAGGUUUAAGGUAAAAGGAAGGAUUUUUAAAGGGUAUUUUGGUGGAAAUUUUUACAUAGGCAAUGGUUGAUAAGUGGAACUCCUUGCCACAGUGGAACUCCAGGGCAUAGAAUUGGAUGCAAUCACUACACUUAAGAGACAUUUAGAUUUACACUUGACCAGGGAAAGCAUGAAAGGACAGGAAACUAAUAGAAGAACAAAUAAGAUUAGUAUAGAUGGACAAAAAGAUUUGAAUGGAUGUGAUGGGUCAGUGGGCUGGUUUCUGAACUGUACAUCCAUGAGUGGUUUGGAAUGCGAAUAAUACGUAUGUAUCUAGAAGAACAAAAUGGGAUGGUGUGGAUGAGUGAUACUAAUUGGAUUGCUGUUACACAGAAUCCAUAAUGACUUGUUGGCAAUUGGUUUCCUUCCAUGCUGUAACAAAUCUGUGAUUUAGUUUAGUUUAUUAUUGUUAUGUGUUCCGAGGCACAGUGAAAAGCUUUUGUUGUGUGCUAUCCAGUCAUUGAAUUGACUGUUGUUUAGAAGUAUUGUUUCUGACUUUGGAGAGUUGUUGGAUUGCAUAUUUUAAUGAGAUUACAAUGUUGAUUUAUUUCCAUUGUUCAGAGCCACCAUUUUGAAAAUUCAGAUUCUACAAAUUCAACAGCUUUGUAAUCUGGAGUAAAGAGAUUUUGAUUGGUUAAAGUGUGCAAAGAAUGGUUUGAACACAAAUACUUAUAGCACAAGUACUUUGUUUUAAUCAUAAUUCACAAAGCAAUUGGCCCAUUCUUAGUCACGUUUGUGACCAAAAAGAUGAAACAUUGUGGAAUACAUCUCUUCUAAUUCUGAAAGCAUUACAGGUAUAUUGUUUUGUACUGUAUAUAUGGUUCAUAUUUUUUUUCGGUUUAUCAAGUGAAUUUUUAAUGUUAUGCUGACAAUGUUUGUUUAGAGUCAGCGGUAAAAUAUGAAUGGUCACGUGUGUGACACCACACGGAAGCAUUAUACAAACUCUGAAGUUUAAAAAGCUAGAAUGUUCAUAGACAUGCAUUAUAGUUCUGUAGGUGGGAAAAUAGCAAUGAAUAAGAUUAAUGUCACAAGAGUUAUUUUUUAAUGUAUCACUUUGUGAUGACAUCUGGUCACGUGUGUGACAUGUUGGUUCGCUUUCCAAAGAAUGGGCCAAUUGCUAUUGCUUAAUGUUUGGAAAACCAUCUUACAAAGGGUAGGAAGAACAGGAAAAUGAAAGCACAAUGGCUGAAAAACAGAGUAAAGUAAAGUAGAAUACAGCAUAUGAUAAAUUCCAGAUGUUAAUGUAAGCAAGGAUUGGAUUGAUUACACAAAGUACAGAGACAAUGUUAAAAAAAUGGAAAUAAAAAAAUUCAAAGUGAGAGUACUAAAGUAGCAGCAAGUGGAUAAGGACAUUCUACAAUAUUCUAUAGAUAUUUGAAAGGAAAAGGGUUGUAAGAGGAGAGAUGGGUUAGAUCAGAGAAAAAAAAAAUUGCAAAAGGAGACAGAGUCAAUGAGUGUUUGAAGUACUAACGUAUUUUAUAUCAGUUUUCAUUGUAGAAGAUAAUGCUGUUCGAGUAUCAGUAAAGAAGAUGUAAUUAAGAUUCUGAAUAGACAAACUGCAGUUGGUGGAUAUAUCACCUGGGAAGCAUCUGAGAGAAAUAAGGGAAGAAAUUAUAGAGAUCCUGGUAAUAAUUUCCCAAACAUUGAUACAUUCAGAGUGCGUGAUGAUUUAAAAUUGUAAACAUUACCCACUCCCUUGUUUAAAAAAAUAUAUAAAGAGAUAACAAAUAAUUACAGACCAGUUCCAGAAACAAUAAUCAGAGAUUGACUAGGCAGUCUUUUGGACAAGUGGAUUGGUUCCAGAAAAUAAGCAUGGAUUAAAAAAAAAAAAAGCUAAUUGUAUCUAGUAUUUUGAUUGUCUUUUAAUGAAGUAACUGAAAGGGUUGAUGAGGAAAAUCGGAUUGAUGUAUAUAUGGACAUCCAAAAGGUUCCACUUAGUUCCAUUUAGUGGACGUCACCAAAAAUGAAGGUCAUAGGGGGGGGGGGGGGGGGUUAGAGGGUCUGUUUGGAUUUUGAUAGAAAGAAUGUACAGAGGCAAUAUAGAAGAGACAACUCCAAGAGGAAACAAGAUCAGUAAUCUUGGGUUGAUAAAUAGAGACAUAAAGUAAAGGUGAAGGAUGUCAUGAUGAAUAUUGAUAAGAGUUUUGGUUUUGCCACAUUGUGAAUUUUGUUUAAUUCUGGAUUGCACACUUGAGAGAAAGAUUUUGGAGAGAGUGCCAGAAAUUUACAAAAAGUGAUCCCAGGAUGUCCAUGGACUGGAGAAUCUGGAAUUGUUCUCCCUUAGAGGUAGCGGUUAGAUCCUUAGAUCUUAGACUUUAGAGUUAGAUCCCUUAGAUCUAACACAAAUAGUUAAAAUCAUUAAGGAUGUGGACAGAGUAGAUAGUAAGUUUUCCUGUUAAUAGUGCGAUUGAGAACUUGAAAAUAUAGAACAACGUUGAUUGGAGAAAGAACCAAAAGUGACACAAGGGAAAAUUAUUUUAUUCAACAAGUUGUAAAUGGGUGGAAUGCGUUACCACAGAUGGUAGUGAAGGCAGAUUCAAUUGUAACAUUCAAAAUAGAGCUGGGUAAAUAUCUAAAAGGAAAUAUCUAAAAUUGUGUACCACAGGAAGAUGAAGAGGGAGAGGAUAGCUUUAACAUAAAGCCACAUAAACUUGGCGAACUGAAUAGUUGUUAUAAUUCCAUAGUUCUAAGCAAGACGUGGUUAGUUGCAGUUGUGUUUUACUUUUCUGUUACCUUCAUUUGUUUGAAGAUGUUCUCUUGGAUUUCAUCUGAUUAAGCACCUUUUGGGUAAACUGUUUUACAUUGUCAGAAGUCAUCUACAAGACUAUAGGUUAAAGUAAUUUUGAAGUGUCCUUAUACAUUUAUCAAUCGGCUUUAAGUUGAAUCACUCGUUCUGAAAGACAUCAUCACAUGCAGAAUUAUCCCUAAACAACAUCAAAAUUGCUAUGGGCAAUAAGAAGUAUGAAAUACCACAAGCAUUUUCGCUUUGAUAAUAGCCAUGUAGCUACAUCUGAAGAUGUGCCCAUUGGUGAAAUGUAAAACUUGGUUCUCUUCACUUGUUUGUUGUCAAUCACACAAAAGUAGUGAAAGGUAUUGAAUGUGAAUUAGAUGGAUGUUUGCUGGUGUUGGUUAUGUUGUUCAGCGAUAUCAGAGACAGAUGUCUCUAACUGAAUAAACUUAACUGGAUACUGUUCUUUGCAUUUCUUCCAUUUUAAGUUAUUUUAUUUCUGAAUCACAAGCCAUUUUCCCACCUUUUGGACAGUUUCAUUCAUUUAAAAUUAUGUGAAAUGCUUCUGACUAUGUACUUCUCAUAACCUCUAAUCUGUGUUAGCAGUAUGUUAUUAUUGAACCUGGAAUGCUCUGCAUUAGUUGGUAAUACAUUUGGUGUUUUUCAUCCAUUACAAGGAUCAGUUGGGAGAUAUUUGUAAUGACAAAUUUUAACUUGUAUAUUUCUCUGAAUUUUGGUUAAAACAUAACUGAAACUAUUUUAUGAAAAUCUCAGUUUUAGAGGGGUUUGUCAUUUGCAUCUGCACGUGUUUUUGCAUAUAUUAAAGAUAAAUCAAUAAAGAUUAUAAUUAUC